CAGCCCCAGUCCUCCAAUAGACUGUGUAGACACACUGCUCAACCCGAAUGGAGUCUCACUGUUCCACUCCAGCACACCAGUGCACAGUCAACCGAAGGAUCAGAGCUAUAAUCCCAAAUGUCAAAAUAUUUAUUUAUUUACUUUUUUGGAAGUAGGAAUACACUUUAAAGGUUUGGGAAGAUUCUGGACACAGCACAAGAAAAAGAAAUGCAUCAGAGAAACAUGAAUGUUUGUUUGCUGCUGGAGAUGGGGUAUUUCCUGAUAAAAGACAUGAGAUUUCCUGUGUGGUGGUAAAUUCCUUAUUUUAGGUAACGUUGGUUUACCACCUACAAAAAUUUACUACGCUCUUUUCAACUUACGUUGACAUACAAUGGUACCAUUAUCCUACAAUAGCUGUUGUGACUUUAGUG